UACCUAGGAAUUUAGACACGGAACGCCCUUCAUAUCACGGAACGCCCCCCAGCACUAGUCACGGAACGCCCUCUGAUGUCAGUUUCGAGACGUCAUCAUUGUUUUUGUCGGAGUCCGGAGGAAUGGUGGACUUAGAAUAUAUCUUUCUAAAAGAGUUUCGAGGAAAGAAGAAGAGUUUGUGUUGGAAAUUAAGAUGGCAGUGAGUUUGUUGCAAGUUGUACUAGUAUUAGGAAAAUUGCCAGGUAGCUGGAAAGAACCACAGAAGAAGGUAAUGUAAAUAUAAAUGUGUGUUGCUAGUAUAAGACAAAAAACACACACAGAUAUCUCCUGUACUAACUAAUCACCUCUUCAUAUGAUCGAAUCUACACACACAGACUGACAGCCUGGACUGCUCAGGGUAAGUGGAGGACACUUUGCCAGGAGUCAGAUGUAAAUGUUGAUUUCAAAUAAUAACUUGCUUUUUUAUUUUGUAUGCUUUCUACAUUGCCACUGGAAGAGCAUUUGAUUUCAGUCAGGAAGACAUGCCAAAAAUUAGAAGAUGGUGGUGUCAUCUCUUACUUCGCAAAGCCAGCAUUAAAGCCAAGACUUCGGUCUUCACUUUCCACACGAGAAGAAGGACAAAGCAAGCUAGGUAU